AUGAAUGUGAAGAUGUGAUGAGUUAUGAGGAAAGUUUUUGUGGUGUAGAUAAGUUUAGGGCAUAAUUUCAUUUAAAAACAAAAAAUGACAACAAAAAAAGACUGACUUCCUACUGUUGAUGAAGAAUUUCUUCAAUCUGGAUUACAGCAGUGUCUACAGACUGCAGUUCAAUAGAUAACAGAGCCUGGACCCCUUCCGAACCUUCAGUCAGGUUCAGCUGGCUUGUAGACUGUGUGAAAUUCAGACCCACUUAACAGAGCUCUUAAGAGGAAAAACAAGACAAUGUAGAGAGGAACAUUCACAUCAGACCUUGUUUCUACUCUGGAUGUUCGUGCUGCUGCUCCAAUGGAGCCAGAUGGGAUACAUUUCCAAAAAGCAGGCAAUGCUUUCUUUUUCAAAAAAAUGCUGUAUAGGAUGCUUUUCCAUACAGUAUAUUGUACUAUUUUACUGCAGAUUCACACCAACUAUGUUUCCAUGUAUUACAACAUUCCAUGUAGGACUUACUGUUUAUUUGGUGUUCAGAAUAUGAAAACUAAUUAAGCACAGGAUCCCAAAAGCCAAUUAGUUUUAUAAUUGGCGUAUUGCAUUUCAGUGUUUCCAUUUGGAUGAAUUGCAAGAGCUUAAUCUGAGUCCAGGAGCUAAAUAAAAAUGGUACUUGUUUGUCAGAUGCACCAAUUCAGUAUGGGCUGUAAAUGUCUCUGAUGCACGUUUCUAUGGUCUCUUGUUGCUUAUUAUCUUUUGAACAGCUUCUGUGUUGUCUAUAUCUGCGCUUAGAUCUGCAGAACCACAGUUACCCUGUCUAAUUACAAGGAUUUCACCCCUCCUUUAGAUAACAACUGUAAUGAGGGUUCCUGCUGCGGCUGGUAGAUGUUAGGCUCCAACUUCUGUUACACUGCAGUGAGACUUGCAUGCUCUGGUUGUUGUGGCUUCCCUAGAAGUCCAGCUUUGGAUGCUGCAAAUACCAGAGGAAGAGGAAAAGUACAGCACCACCAGAAGUAGCUGUGGCACAUGUUGUUGGUUAUCACUACCUAUGAGAGUGAGAUUGAAUGAAAGUAGACAGCAUUUUAGCACACUUUAUUGUGCUCUAAGCUGCUUCUCUAGUUCAUAUGGCUUGAUGAGCACCGGUUCUGUAAGCAGUAAUUUUGGGAGUGUGGGAGGGAGGUGGCAGGGGUUUUAUAUCAGAUUGCAAUAUAGCUUAUUCAGUGCUCU